CUUUGUUCAGGAUUUGGUCAAGGCUCUGGAAUGCAGUGUGGGACAGUGCAUGAAGAACUGGUUGAAAGAUUGGUGGAGCAAUUCAUCCAUCAAGUCUGACUGAACAUCUGCCACUCCUCUUUGAGGGGACUCAGCAUUAACCACCAGUCCUGGAAAGUCUCUGGAGCCAUGCCAGAGAAAUCAUGACUCAGCAAGUUGGAGUUCACGUAAAGUUCAAUGUAGUGUGUGUGUGUGUGUUCGGAUAUGGGUGUGGAGUGUGAAGAAGGCUGAGGGUGUGGUGAAUGGUUCCCUUGGGUGGAGCAAAAGGUUCUCUAGAAUGAGUCCCUCACCAAAUCUCUCACCUAGAAAUAAUCUUACUAUUGUAAGAUUUGGCUUUAGAAAUCUCAGUGUUGCUUCACAUUUUUAAAUGUUUGACAUCCAGGAGAUAUCCCAGAUACUGGGCCAACUUCUUCAUCACUGGGUUUGACACAGGUGCCUUUCUUUGCUUUUUUUGGUGCAAUAUUCACACAAUUCACACAAUAGCCUGGAAGGGCUAUUUACCCCCUAUUUACCUACCUCCUACCCAAAGGACUCUAAAUGAUACUGAAUGCAGGAUGCACAGAUGAGUGGAACUGUGCAUAGGAGAAGACUAAAUAACUAAGCCUGGGAUGGCACAGUACAUGAUGGAAUACCAUAUAUUCCAAGGCCACAUUUUCCAAAGUGGAGUGGAGGACAGUGAGGUAUGAUUUGCAGGUUUGAUAUCUCUUUGGAUUAGAAAUAAAAGCCAAGAGGUGUCCAUAUAAUAGAAAUAUAGAGCCAUCACACAUUCCAAUCUUCAUUUCAUGUCAAUAACUAUGUGUUGAAAGAUACUAGCAAGGUACCACACAGGAGACCAGAUAAACAAAACACAGUAAAGGCUAGUGGAGCAUACAGACACAAAUGCAAUGAAUCAUUGGAAAAAGGAAGAGAGAAGAAUAAGCCUCAUAUGAUGUUAUCAUUCUUCCUUGAGUGAAUAGCAAGAAAUAUGGGAGGAUGAGCAGUUACAUUGUUUUUCAAAGUUACUAAAGGUAACACAUGUUCACACCUCUCCACCCCUACCUCAACAAGCAACAAUAUUACAUCUGUGGACUAUUCUUCUUCCCCAUGUC
rnacentral:lncRNA from 1 species